rnacentral:rRNA from 1 species
UACGUAGGGUGCAAGCGUUGUCCGGAAUUAUUGGGCGUAAAGAGCGUGUAGGCGGCCCGACCAGUCCGCUGUGAAAGUCCAGGGCUCAACCCUGGAAUGCCGGUGGAUACUGUCGGGCUAGAGUCCGGAAGGGGCGAGUGGAAUUCCUGGUGUAGCGGUGAAAUGCGCAGAUAUCAGGAGGAACACCUAUGGCGAAGGCAGCUCGCUGGGACGUGACUGACGCUGAGACGCGAAAGCGUGGGGAGCAAACAGG